CAGGCUUAACACAUGCAAGUCGAGGGGCAGCAUGGUCUUAGCUUGCUAAGGCCGAUGGCGACCGGCGCACGGGUGAGUAACACGUAUCCAACCUGCCGUCUACUCUUGGACAGCCUUCUGAAAGGAAGAUUAAUACAAGAUGGCAUCAUGAGUCCGCAUGUUCACAUGAUUAAAGGUAUUCCGGUAGACGAUGGGGAUGCGUUCCAUUAGAUAGUAGGCGGGGUAACGGCCCACCUAGUCUUCGAUGGAUAGGGGUUCUGAGAGGAAGGUCCCCCACAUUGGAACUGAGACACGGUCCAAACUCCUACGGGAGGCAGCAGUGAGGAAUAUUGGUCAAUGGGCGAGAGCCUGAACCAGCCAAGUAGCGUGAAGGAUGACUGCCCUAUGGGUUGUAAACUUCUUUUAUAAAGGAAUAAAGUCGGGUAUGGAUACCCGUUUGCAUGUACUUUAUGAAUAAGGAUCGGCUAACUCCGUGCCAGCAGCCGCGGUAAUACGGAGGAUCCGAGCGUUAUCCGGAUUUAUUGGGUUUAAAGGGAGCGUAGAUGGAUGUUUAAGUCAGUUGUGAAAGUUUGCGGCUCAACCGUAAAAUUGCAGUUGAUACUGGAUAUCUUGAGUGCAGUUGAGGUAGGCGGAAUUCGUGGUGUAGCGGUGAAAUGCUUAGAUAUCACGAAGAACUCCGAUUGCGAAGGCAGCCUGCUAAGCUGCAACUGACAUUGAGGCUCGAAAGUGUGGGUAUCAAACAGGAUUAGAUACCCUGGUAGUCCACACGGUAAACGAUGAAUACUCGCUGUUUGCGAUAUACAGCAAGCGGCCAAGCGAAAGCGUUAAGUAUUCCACCUGGGGAGUACGCCGGCAACGGUGAAACUCAAAGGAAUUGACGGGGGCCCGCACAAGCGGAGGAACAUGUGGUUUAAUUCGAUGAUACGCGAGGAACCUUACCCGGGCUUAAAUUGCAGAUGAAUUACGGUGAAAGCCGUAAGCCGCAAGGCAUCUGUGAAGGUGCUGCAUGGUUGUCGUCAGCUCGUGCCGUGAGGUGUCGGCUUAAGUGCCAUAACGAGCGCAACCCUUGUUGUCAGUUACUAACAGGUUCCGCUGAGGACUCUGACAAGACUGCCAUCGUAAGAUGUGAGGAAGGUGGGGAUGACGUCAAAUCAGCACGGCCCUUACGUCCGGGGCUACACACGUGUUACAAUGGGGGGUACAGAGGGCCGCUACCACGCGAGUGGAUGCCAAUCCCCAAAACCUCUCUCAGUUCGGACUGGAGUCUGCAACCCGACUCCACGAAGCUGGAUUCGCUAGUAAUCGCGCAUCAGCCACGGCGCGGUGAAUACGUUCCCGGGCCUUGUACACACCGCCCGUCAAGCCAUGGGAGCCGGGGGUACCUGAAGUGCGUAACCGCGAGGAGCGCCCUAGGGUAAAACUGGUGACUGG
rnacentral:rRNA from 1 species